AGAUAACUCGAGAAUUUACUUAAAAGUGCAUGGGCUAUUCUUUAGGUUUUUUAUUAUAUUUUAUGAUCGUAAGCUAAUAAUGUCAAAUUCGUUAUUUGUGAUUAUUUGGUGAUAUACGUAUAUAUGAGCGAUAAAAAACAAAGUUUAAAUUCCAUAACAAAAAUGUUGACAUCUUCAACUCAAAUAUUAAUAGCAAUGAAAACAGCCCAAAAUUGAAUAAAAUCAGUGUUAAAUCUUCUGAAGGCGAUAUAAAGGAGUUGUAGUGUGUUACAUGUGUUGCAUGUUCUCAACAAAAAUGGUUUAUUCAGGAACGCUUGUAAUAAAUAUAUUGAUAUGACGGGACAUAUUAAUAAUGAAACAGAAAUUAAAGCAUAUAGUUAUAAUAAAAAACAAAUUAUAAUUUAUAAAAGACAACAAUCAUCAUAUUUGGAGACCAAUAUGGCAAACACAAUAUCUAUAAUGUCCAAUGCGUUACGAAAUGUUGUGAGCAAAAAACGCAGACGCUACAAGGAAAAAGGAUUUAAUUUGGAUCUUUCCUAUAUAUGCCCUAAUAUUAUUGCGAUGGGAUAUCCUGCGCCAGACAUAUUCGAAGGCAUUUACCGAAAUCGCCUAGAUGAUGUUUAUAAAUUUCUGGAAGAAAAUCACGGAGAUCAUUACAGAAUAUAUAAUUUAUGCCAAGAACGGAGUUACGACAUUAAUAAAUUUCACAGGAGAGUUGCAACUUACCCAUUUGAGGAUCAUAACCCUCCCACCAUUGAGCUGAUACAACGUUUCUGUCAUGACGUUGAUUCCUGGCUUAACAGAGACCCGUUAAAUGUCGUAGCCGUGCAUUGCAAAGCUGGAAAAGGAAGAACCGGUACAAUGAUAUGUGCAUAUUUGGUCCAUAGUAAAUUGAAGAAAACAGCAGAUGAUGCGUUGGCCUAUUAUGACGAAAAACGUACAAAAGACCGGAAAGGAGUAACAAUUCCAUCUCAACGUAGAUAUGUUCAGUAUUAUUCAAAUUUAAUCCCAGAUGUACGGUAUGAAGUAACAACUCUUUACGUUUCUGAAAUCCGUUUUACCGAGACAAAUUACUUGCAUAAUCUUGGUACAGUGCAAUGUUCAAUUUCUGACAGGCAAGACUCUUCAACAGACAAACUUAAGGCGCAUGAACUGAAAACUUGGACAAUUGAUUUUCAAAAAACUUUUAUAUUGGAUAUAAGUAAUUCACCCUUGACAGUUUCUGGUGAUAUUAAAGUCGAACUUACUCAAAAAUCAUCAAGGAAGAUGAUUUGCCACUUCUGGCUUAAUACAUUCUUUUUGCAAAAUAAUGCGGCUAGCAGUACCGAUGAAAACACCGAUAAAUUUACGCAUACCUUAAUUAAAUCUGAAAUUGAUGGUGCACAUAAAGACAAAGAUCAUAAAUCGUUUUCGGAGGAUUUUAAGAUCUCUCUUGUAUUUAUAAAAGAAAAAAAAUGCUUCGACAGUAUAAACGCUGAACCGUCUGCAGAAAAUAAUUGGAGCCAUAAUCGAAGCUCGGAUUUUUUUCCUGGUGAUAAUGAUAAGAAUCUGAACAGUGAGGGUUCUGAUAUAAACUCUCCGUCCUCAAGUCGUUUGUUCGAAGGUCCAUUUCAUACCAGUGAUGAAAUAGGUGAAACAAAAUCGCACCUAAUAGAACAUAACAGAAAACUUACAAAAAAUCAACACAAAAAAUCAACUAUCUCAAAACUUCCUGCGUUGACAUCUAAACGAAAACAGUCUUCAUCAAAAUGCCCAUUAAGCGUUAGUAAUACUUCGUCAGGCAAGGACAACAAAAAGCUGCAUAUUUUUAAUCAACCGUCCGCUAUACCAUUCGAUAAAGUGCCAAUAAGGAGGCAUCACAAUAAAAUGUAUGAAAAAACCUCUGAUAGUCGACGUAUAUUUGAUCGAUGUAAUAUUUCCAACCUUUCUGGCGGGGAUAAGAUCUUCGAACAGAAGUCAUACAAUAAUUGCAAACGAUCAUCUUCUGACUUGAAUCAAACUGGUGAAGAAGGAGAUGAAGAUUGGGAAUCCGAUCUUAAUUUACAGAACUAUGGAGCUAGUACAACCGGCACUACAUAAGGAGACAGAUUUCAACAAUGUUCCGCUGAGUUCUGAGAAUUGUUACUAAGGCCUGCUGUAUCUACCUUAAGCAGCAGAGUCAUCAAAAAAUGUGAUUUAUAUCCGGGGUGAUAUCAACAUCAACCAUGACAAGAGGUGAUAGCACACCACUCCACACUUUUUGGCUGCCAUUAUGUUAUUUAUUUAUUUUUAAAAUGUAAAAACAACAAGCUUGUACAGUUUAUGUUUUUAAGGAUAAGCUCUAGAAAGCGGUUAUUGUUUUAGCCUAAACUAAAAAUAAGAGUAUAAUUUUAGCUCAAAGAAAAGCCCUGUCACUGUAUAUUUUUGUAGCCUUUCCUGAAAAUAUAAGCAAAAUUAAAUAGUACUGUUGCAACAUGUAAAAUUAAGCUGCACAGUGUUGUUCCACUUCAAA